rnacentral:rRNA from 1 species
GUCUGCAACUCGACUACAUGAAGCUGGAAUCGCUAGUAAUCGCGAAUCAGAAUGUCGCGGUGAAUACGUUCCCGGGUCUUGUACACACCGCCCGUCACACCAUGGGAGUCGGAAAUGCCCGAAGUCAGUGACCUAACCGAAAGGGAGGAGCUGCCGAAGGUGGAGCCGGUAACUGGGGUGAAGUCGUAACAAGGUACC